CGCGUCCCCCGGGCCCCGGCGGCCUCCCUGCUGCGGCGGGGAGGGGCGGCUAGCCGCGACGGCGGCGGACGGAGGGGGAGGGCCGCGAGCCUUCGGAACCAGCCUCGAGGGUGCUGAACCCCGCGCGCCCGCCUCGCCGCGGCCCCCGGGUGGGGGCGUCCACGGCCCGGGUUCCCGGCGGGCUUGGGGCAGGGACGCAGUCCGGAGAUUCCGGGACUGCCCGGCUGCUGCAGCCCGCAGGCUCCUCUCUCCUCCCCGCUUCCCCUCCGCACUGCCUGGGCUAAAGGCGGCCAAGCUGAGGCUCCGAAAGAAAAGGGAAAAUUGCAACCCUUGCCUACAACCAGACUGACAGCAUAAUUUCUUAGGAAUCAAGAAUCAAUACAGGGUUAUUUCUUUAGAUUAAACCUUAAAAGCCCCCUUGGAGGCUGAAGAAGCAGAGGAUAGCCAUGCAUACACUUGAACGUGAAAAAUGGUCCUCUUUCAUUGGAGAGGUCUUCCUCUUCAGCUAAACCGACAGAGUGGUGAAAAGAAGAAGGGACCCCUUGUUGACCAAAAUAAUCCAGACAAAUCAAAUCGGCCCUUUCCAGCAAGGAGUGGAACAGCCCAAGGGUGGCUAGAUCACAUCUUCUGCUCACACCACCACUGAGCAACCCUCUCCAGGACUGCCACCUAUGCAUAGGUCAUGCCCUGUGCAAGAGCACAUAAAGUGGGAGCUGAAGUCCUGCCCAGGCUCCAUUCACCAAGCAGAGCUUAUGUUGUUGUGUGUCUGUGUCUACCCAGAGGAUGUGGGUCCUUUUUAAAAUGUGCACCAAUGCAUCUUGUAUGAGCUGGCACCAGCUCGGACCAUCCCACCCUCAUACCCUGGUCCUAUCCAGGGUUAUAUUCCCUACUUUAGAAGAAUUAAUUAUUUUUAUGAACGUAUUUAGUUUAUUGUAAAAAAUGAAAUAUAUGACACAAAUUGAAAUUAAUUUCAGAGGUAAAGGUCAGAAUAUUACCAUGUAUGUGAAUUAUGUUUGUAUGUAUAUGUAUAUAUCAAGAGAGUUAUAUGAAUAUACAUUUUUGUGUAUCAGAAGUGAGGACAAUUUAACUUUGUUAAGUGUUUGAAAUAAAAUUAUUUUGAGUUUUGGAAUCA
rnacentral:lncRNA from 1 species